rnacentral:lncRNA from 1 species
GUUGUUAUAGAUGUCAGUUAAAAAGAACUUUAUUUAAACAGUUAAAAAAGUAGAGGGUUUUUGGUCUAGUAUGGUUCAGACUGGUCGAGUAUUGUUCAGACCUUUGGUUAAGUAUGGCUUAGACUGGAAAAAUAGGUCGAGUACAUGUCAAGAAUGGGUUAAGACUGUUUCAGACUGGUCAAGUAAUAGUUCAGACUAUUUUCAACGGCA